rnacentral:rRNA from 1 species
UACGUAGGGGGCAAGCGUUGUCCGGAAUCAUUGGGCGUAAAGAGCGUGUAGGCGGCCAGAAAAGUCCGCUGUGAAAACUCGAGGCUCAACUUCGAGCUGUCGGUGGAAACUUUCUGGCUAGAGUCCGGAAGAGGAGAUUGGAAUUCACGGUGUAGCAGUGAAAUGCGUAGAUAUCGUGAGGAAGACCAGUGGCGAAGGCGGAUCUCUGGGCAGUUCCUGACACUGAGGCACGAAGGCCAGGGGAGCAAACGGG